AAAUUAAAAUUAAAAUUAAAAUUAAAAUUUUUAACUUAAAAUUUCGUAUUAUAAAAGACCAUUGCUUUGACUGUUCUAUCAAUAUUGAUACCAAUUGUUUUGGCAGAGAAUUCAAAUUUCCGUAUUAGAGGCUUAUUUUCUCCUUUUAGUGUUUUUACUGUUUUUGUGUGGCCUGGCUCUGAAUCGAACUUAAUUGCCCAUAAAUUCAUUUGUAACACCGAUUUCCGCAAUUGUGUCAAUUGGCUGCCUAAAUAUACCACCAGGGACUCUGGCCAAACAUCAUGCUGUACUGUUCGGGUUGGCCCUUGGGCCAAGUUAGCUGUUGACUCAAACUCACCACCGAAGUUACAAUCAGGGCCAGGACUAUGAUGAUGACCAGUAGCGCGAUGAGGAUCCCGCGCCAGUUCCUCUGGUUGGGGUUGCUGGAGACCAACUGUGGAGAAUCACAAAAGAAUAAUCAGAAAGAACAGUGAAACACGAAGCAUUAGGAAAAUUAAUUGCGAAGCGAUGGAAUGCAAAUGCUGCCCAUAAAGCGCACGUGCGGCUCAUUACCCCCAAAGUUAUGAUAAUAAACUGGCCAGAACCGCAAGUAAUUGGUUGGCCAAGAUGCAAUUAGUAAAACUGAUGAUUCGGUUUCCCCCCCUUCCAGCGAGCUCAUAAACGGUUCUCCCCUUUAUUUAUGUCUACCCUUAAACAAGCAUGUAGAACAAACAGGCCCGGCCAGAACCCCUUGGAAAUCACCGCCUAAUGCAUAUUUAAUGUUGUCAAGCACAAAGGCGAACAGAAACCCAAGUUAAACACACGACAAAAACUAAACUCACGCAGCCCGUACGAGUUGAUACCGAUUGGGACGAGGAUUUGGGGCUUCUGUCUGGGGGACUCUGCCAGACAGGCUCAUAUACAACUCCGCUUAGCCGAAUAAUUAAUUAAGGGCUCAUAAAACUAUGCUGUUCUGGUAGAUAAUAAAGAAAUGGCAAUGUAUUAAUCAAGA